UGCUGGAUCAACAAGUUCAAUCCACGGCAGCUCCACCUUGCAACCCACAGGACUUGAAGGAUCUCUGCUAACGUAUUGAUUCCAGAUACCACAGGAUAUCUUCAGGGGUCUUGUAGAGUCCAUGCCUCGCAAGUUGGCGCUGUUUCGGCAGCAUUCGGAGGACCAACAGCAUAGGAAAUGAAGGUUUCAACUGAUGCAAAUGUACCACUAAUGUAUACACAGAGGGAAAGUGGAUUCUACCAAUAAGCAAAAGAGAAACAUAAAGGCAUGACGGGGUGAGAGGAAGGAGAAAUGGGGAACAGAGAAAUCUGGAAUCAAGACCUCCUCAUCUGUAGCCUUAUUCUUCUAUGCCUGUUUCUCUC